rnacentral:rRNA from 1 species
GCGAUUGGAUGGAGCGUGCUUACCAUGCAGUCGACGAGCAAGAGCUGUAGUAAUACAGAAUUCUGCUAGUGGCAGACGGGUGAGUAAUACAUGGGAAUCUACCUUGCAGCGCGAAAUAACAGUUGGAAGCAAUUGCUAAUGUCGCAUAUGGCCGAGAGGUGAAAGAUUUAUUCGCUACAAGAUGAGCCCAUGCAGGAUUAGCUAGUUGGUGAGGUAAUGGCUCACCAAGGCAACGAUCUUUAGUUGGUCUGAGAGGAUGAUCAGCCACACUGGAACUGAGAUACGGUCCAGACUCCUACGGGAGGCAGCAGUGGGGAAUAUUGGACAAUGGGCGCAAGCCUGAUCCAGCGACGCCGCGUGAGUGAUGAAGGCCUUAGGGUUGUAAAGCUCUUUUAGUGGGGAAGAUAAUGACGGUACCCACAGAAAAAGCCCCGGCUAACUUCGUGCCAGCAGCCGCGGUAAUACGAAGGGGGCUAGCGUUACUCGGAAUUAUUGGGCGUAAAGCGUGCGUAGGCUGCUUAGUAAGUCAAAAGUGAAAGCCUUGGGCUUAACCUAAGAAUUGCUUUUGAAACUGCUAGGCUUGAGUACUGUAGGGGAUAGCGGAAUUCCUAGUGUAGGGGUGAAAUUCGUAGAUAUUAGGAGGAACACCGGAGGCGAAAGCGGUUAUCUGGGCAGUUACUGACGCUGUUGCACGAAAGCGUGGGGAGCAAACAGGAUUAGAUACCCUGGUAGUCCACGCAGUAAACGAUGAGUGCUAGAUGUUGGGAUUCGUUUCUCAGUGUCGCAGCUAACGCAUUAAGCACUCCGCCUGGGUGAGUACGGUCGCAAGAUUAAAACUCAAAGGAAUUGACGGGGGACCCGCACAAGCGGUGGAACAUGUGGUUUAAUUCGAUGCUACACGAAAAACCUUACCAGGCCUUGACAUGAUGGUCAUAUGAAGUGUGAAAGCAGUUUAAUCGGUUCGGCCGGACCAUCACAGGUGUUGCAUGGGCUGUCGUCAACUCGUGUCGUGAGAUGUUGGGUUAAGUCCCGCAACGAGGGGCAACCCUUAUCCUUUAGUUGGCCAGCGAGUAUGGUCGGGAAAC